rnacentral:tRNA from 1 species
UAGGAUAAGGCAUCGGGAGUGCAUGGAGAUUUUUGAAUUCUUAGGUGUAGGUUCAACUCCUACUGUCCUAA